rnacentral:rRNA from 1 species
UACGUAGGUGGCAAGCGUUGUUCGGAAUUAUUGGGCGUAAAGGGCUCGUAGGCGGUCUGUUGCGUCGGGAGUGAAAACUCAGGGCUUAACCCUGAGCCUGCUUCCGAUACGGGCAGACUAGAGGUAUGCAGGGGAGAACGGAAUUCCUGGUGUAGCGGUGAAAUGCGCAGAUAUCAGGAGGAACACCGGUGGCGAAGGCGGGUCUCUGGGCCGAUACUGACGCUGAGGAGCGAAAGCGUGGGGAGCGAACAGG